rnacentral:rRNA from 1 species
UACGUAGGGUGCAAGCGUUAUCCGGAAUUAUUGGGCGUAAAGAGCUCGUAGGCGGUUUGUCGCGUCUGCUGUGAAAACUGGAGGCUCAACCUCCAGCCUGCAGUGGGUACGGGCAGACUAGAGUGCGGUAGGGGAGAUUGGAAUUCCUGGUGUAGCGGUGGAAUGCGCAGAUAUCAGGAGGAACACCAAUGGCGAAGGCAGAUCUCUGGGCCGUAACUGACGCUGAGGCGCGAAAGCUAGGGGAGCAAACGGG